rnacentral:misc_RNA from 1 species
CAAAAAUCUACUGCUUACAUUGACAAACCGUGAGUAUUGAAGCUUCUGAUUUAAUUAUAUUUAUUUUCUCACAUAGUUUGAAUUAGGGAGGAUGCCGGGAUGGCUGUAACAAGCUAAACGUGGAACACCCAGAUUCGUUAUAGGGCCAUAAAUGAAUCUAGGAACUUGGUGGUCUAAAGAGUGCCAAGUAGGAUAAAUAAGAACAAGGAUCAAAAUCUCGAACUUCCAAUGAAAUGAGAGAUUUGGAUAACCCCAAGAUAAGGAGCCCUUAUGAAAUCCUGGACAUGGACUCCACCAAGAUAAGGAAAUCGAUACCCAACUCACUAUUAAUACCCACGAGACCCUUCUCCCUUCCACCACUUAAGCCACACAACUUACGGAAGACUAAACUUGCGCACUUACUUUGAAAAUGGCAUCCUCCACUAUGGCCCUCUCCUCCCCUUCAUUCGUUGGCAAGGCGGUGAAGCUCUCCCCCUCUGCCCCUGAGCUCAUGGGCAAUGGCCGUGUCUCAAUGAGGAAAACCGGCGCUAAGCCUGUUUCCUCUGGAAGCCCGUGGUACGGUCCUGACCGUGUUAAGUACUUGGGUCCAUUCUCUGGUGAGCCCCCAUCCUACUUGACCGGUGAGUUCCCUGGUGACUAUGGCUGGGACACUGCUGGUCUCUCUGCUGACCCAGAAACCUUUGCCAAGAACCGUGAGCUCGAAGUGAUCCACUGCAGAUGGGCCAUGCUUGGAGCCCUUGGGUGCGUCUUCCCCGAGCUCUUGGCCCGCAACGGAGUCAAGUUCGGCGAGGCAGUGUGGUUCAAGGCAGGAGCCCAGAUCUUCAGCGAGGGUGGUCUUGACUACUUGGGUAACCCAAGCUUGAUCCACGCACAAAGCAUCUUGGCCAUCUGGGCCGUCCAGGUAGUGUUGAUGGGUGCCGUUGAAGGUUACAGAAUUGCCGGUGGGCCGCUCGGUGAGGUCACAGACCCAAUCUACCCAGGUGGAAGCUUUGACCCAUUGGGCUUGGCUGACGAUCCAGAAGCAUUUGCUGAGCUGAAGGUGAAGGAGAUCAAGAAUGGCAGAUUGGCUAUGUUCUCCAUGUUCGGAUUCUUUGUUCAGGCCAUUGUGACAGGAAAGGGACCAUUGGAGAACUUGGCUGACCACCUUGCUGACCCUGUCAACAACAAUGCCUGGGCUUACGCCACAAACUUCGUCCCCGGAAAGUGAAGGAAAAUCUUGUAAUAUUUUGAGUGCUUUCAUGCCAAAGUGAGGGGAAAUAUUGGAAUAUGACUAGUAGUGCAGAAAAUGUAGUAUCUGUUAAGAACUAGUCUGAAUGGAUUAUCAACAUUUUUUUAAACCUUCUUGUGCUCGGUUCAGCAUAUAUUCUUCUUACUUCCGCAAAGUGUUUAGCACUUGCAAUAAUUAUCACAGAUGCAAUCUUAACGUUAAGUGCUAAAAAUUAAAGAAGCAAAAACUAAAUAUCUUAACAGUAAGAGUACUUCUUAAAGAAUCCCAACUUUUUGUUGUUGCAUAUAUAUGCAGUUUUGUAGAAUAUUAUAGCAGAGUAUUGAAGCUGCCUUAGCAGACUAGAAUUUGAUAGAUCGGAAAAUUGAUCCCAG